GACGAACGCUGGCGGCGUGCCUAAUACAUGCAAGUCGAACGGAAAGGCCCUGCUCUUGCUGGGUGCUCGAGUGGCGAACGGGUGAGUAACACGCGAGUAACCCGCCCUUGACUUUGGGAGAAAUCCAGGAAACUGGGGCUAAUACCGGAUAGGAGCUCUUGCUGCAUGGUGGGGGUUGGAAAGUUUCGGCGGUUGGGGAUGGACUCGCGGGUUAUCAGCUUGUUGGUCAGGUAGUGGCUUACAAAGGUUUUGACGGGUAGCCGGCCUGGGAGGGUUGACAGCCACAUUGGGCCUGAGGGACGGACCAGAAGGCAACGGGAGGCAACGGGGGAAAAUAUUGCGGAGUGGGGGGGAGCCUGUGGCAGCAACGCCGCGAGCGGGAUAACCGCUUACGGGUGGAGAACCGCUUUGUACGGUGCCGAGGACUGAGUGACGGUAAUUGAUAAGGAAGCACCGGCUAACUACGUG
rnacentral:rRNA from 1 species